UUGAUUUCUAAUUUUUGGGUCAAAUAUUUAUUGAAAACUCGAGGCCAAUUAAAUAUAUAUACACACACACAUAUAUAUAUAUAUAUAUAUAUAUAUAUAUAUAUAUGUACUCAUCGGCCGACAAUAACAUGUUUCUAAAAGCUCAAGGUAAUCAUUAUCUUGAGUUGGCCAAAGCUCCAAAAGACUCCAAAACAAAACUGUCGAACCCUCUAAUGUUUUAGCACAUUCAAUCACAUAUAUUAAACAUUGGACCGUUCUAUCAAUUAUAUUUUUCUCUCAAGUGAGAUAUAUAUAUUAUGGCCCUUUAUAACUAAAUAUGUCUCGGGAUACUAAACUUAGCUAAAAGUUUUUUUUUUUUUUUUCAGUUUUACAUAUAUUUAAAUAAAUGGUUAAAUGGGUACCCGUUUAUAACUGUGGGUAAUACCCAUAACCGUCCAUUUAAAUUUCACAGGUAAACAGUUAUAUCCGUAACCGUUUAUUUAUCUAAACGGUUACCCAUAACCGUAACCAUCAAAUUUAAAUGGGUGGAUAACCACGGUUUUCAUAACUAAUGGGUAUUUGCCCAUCCCUAGUCCUAAGUUAAUAGCCCACUUACCCAGAUUCUAUCCUCUGAUCUCACUUUGUUUUCUUUUCUAUUUUUACUUUCUAUCUUAUGUUUUUUUUAAAUGAGUAAACGGUUGAUAUCUCUCUUGAAUUUUCACUUAGCUUUCGAUUUCUCUUAAACUUUUUAAUUGGAAAAUUAAGGACUUAAACAAAUUAUUUUGGCCAAUUUCUCCAUAUCGUAUAGUUUUCAUACAUUCCAUUCAAUUAACGUUAACUCUUAUCAUGCACACCAGUUUAAUAGGAAUUUGGAUGAAAUGAAUGGAAAAACUAACAACAAUGGAAAUUGGCCAAAACAAUUAGUUUAAGUCCUUAAUUUUUCAAUUGAAAAGUUUAGGAGAGAAAUUGAAAGUUCAAGGCAGAAUUCAAGAGGAAAAAUAUCAGUUUACUCUUUUAAAAUAUAUUCUGAAUUUGAUUAAUGAAUAUUUUAAACAUAAUUUAACGUGACUCAAAUUGCAAACUUAGAGAAAUACAGUGAUUAAGGGCUAAUUUAGUAUUGUUGUGUUUUUUUUUUUAAACUGCUUCUACUGUACUGUGAGAAUAAAUAGCUAUAAAAUAAAGUUGUUGAGUGUUUGACAAACUUUUUUUUUUUUUGUAAAAGUACUUUUAAUAAAAAAAGUAGUGUCUGAGUGUUUGGUAAAUUUUUCUAUAAAUUGCUUUGAAUAUGUUAAAUGACUAAAAAUGAUAUUAUAUUUAAUGUGAUAUAAUAAGAGUGUUGUUAAGACCACCCCGGUGUCUUAUUUCCCCACCUACUUUGAAAUGAUAAUUUUAUUGACAAAUUUAUCCUAAUAUAAAAUGACCUUCAAAGACUUAAGAUCAACCAAUCAUGUUUUGCCACAUAAUUAUUAGAUAUCUCAACAAAUAAAAGCUAAAAUAUCAUCAAUAUGAAAAAGGAAAUAAAUAUCAUAAACCCCACCUCCACAAGCUUUCCUGGGGAAGGAAGUUUGAAAAUUUAUCAGGAGGAGGGGGAAUUCGAACAUGACAUAGCAAAGCCUUGAGACUCACAAUAAAGUGCACGUUGUGGAA
rnacentral:lncRNA from 1 species